GUGGAUUAGAUACCCUGGUAGUCCCAGCCGUAAACGAUGCUCGCUAGGUGUCAGGUGCGGUGCGACCGCAUCUGGUGCCGCAGUGAAAACUUGAAGCGAGUCACCUGGGAAGUACGGUCGCAAGGCUGAAACUUAAAGGAAUUGGCGGGGGAGCACUACAACGGGUGGAGCCUGCGGUUCAAUUGGAUUCAACGCCGGAAAGCUUACCGGGUCAGACAGCAAUAUGAAGGUCAGGCUAAAGACCUUACCGGAUUCG
rnacentral:rRNA from 1 species